UGGGGAAUAUUGGACAAUGGAGGGAACUCUGAUCCAGCAAUUCUGUGUGUGUGAAGAAGGUUUUAGGACUGUAAAACACUUUUAGUAGGGAAGAAAAAAAUGACGGUACCUACAGAAGAAGCAACGGCUAAAUACGUGCCAGCAGCCGCGGUAAUACGUAUGUUGCGAGCGUUAUCCGGAAUUAUUGGGCUUAAAGGGCAUCUAGGCGAUAAGACAAGUUGAAGGUGAAAACCUGUGGCUCAACCAUAGGCUUGCCUACAAAACUGUUGAACUAGAGUACUGGAAAGGUGGGUGGAACUACACGAGUAGAGGUGAAAUUCGUAGAUAUGUGUAGGAAUGCCGAUGAUGAAGAUAACUCACUGGACAGAAACUGACGCUGAAGUGCGAAAGCUAGGGGAGCAAACAGG
rnacentral:rRNA from 1 species